CACAGCUAGCCCUCCGAUACUUCCUCACUGUGCCCCUGGACCAACUGUCCCAAGGCCCCUGCUGCCGCUCUGGUGCUGCACAGCCACUGCCUCUCCUCAGCCACUACCAUGACAACUGCGUCCCCCUUGCAGGUGCCAGAACUACCACCAGGACUCAGAGGCCAUCAUCAACCGCCAGAUCAACCUGGAGAGCUACACCUCCUAAGUCUACCUGUCUAUGUCUUACUACUUUGACCUCGAUGAUGUGGCUUUGAAGAAUUUUGGUAAAUACUUUCUUCACCAAUCUCAUGAGGAGAGGGAAGACGCUGAGAAACUAAUGAAGCUGCAGAAUCAACAAGGUAGCCAAAUCUUCUUUUAGGAUAUCAAAAAACCAGACUGUGAUGACUGGGAGAGUGGACUGAAUGUGAUGGAGUGUGCAUUACACUUGGAAAAAAGUGUCAUUACUGGAACUGCACAAACUGGCCACUGACAAAAAUGACUCCCAUUUUUGUGACUUCAUUGAGACGCAUUACCUGAAUGAGCAGGUGAAAUCCAUCAGAGAACUGGGAGACCACAUAACCAACCUGUGCAAGAUGGGAGCCCCUGAAUCUGGCAUGGCAGAGUAUCUCUUUGACAAGCACACCCUGGGAGACAGUGAUAAUGAGAGCUAAGCCUUAGACUAACUUCCCCAUAGUCACGGAGUGACUUCUGUGAUCACCAAGGCAGUGCAUGCAUGUUGGGGUUUCCUUUACCUUUUCUGUAAGUUGUACCAAAACAUACCAAAAGAACUUAAGUUCUUUCAUUUGUACCAUUCCUUCAAAUAAAGAAAUUUGGUACACCCCCCAAAAAAUAUUGAUGAAGAAAUCAAAUCAUUUGUUGAUAUGCAAACAUUGAGGAAAUUAGGCACAUUAAGACCAGCUUUACAGGGAAUACUUAGACCUAUUCUCAACACUGACCAUCACAAUGGACCACCAGCAAAGUAAACACCCAGAAACUAAAGGACAAAAUCUAGCUUACAUAGUGGCCCAAAGGAUAAAACAAAGCAAUGGACAUUCACAAAAUAAGAUGAAUAGAACUCCAUCACACUUUUAA